GACGAACGCUGGCGGCGUGCUUAACACAUGCAAGUCGAACGAAGAGCGAUGGAAGCUUGCUUAUAUCAAUCUUAGUGGCGCACGGGUGAGUAACGCGUAAUCAACCUGCCCUUCAGAGGGGGACAACAGUUGGAAACGACUGCUAAUACCGCAUACGAUCUAACCUCGGCAUCGAGGAAAGAUGCAAGGUGGCCGCUAUGUAUAAGCUAUCACUGAAGGAGGGGAUUGCGUCUGAUUAGCUGGCUGGAGGGGUAACGGCCGCACAAGGCGAUGCUCAGUAGCCGGUCUGAGAGGAUGGACGGCCACAUUGGGACUGGGACACGGCCCAAGCGCCUACGGGAGGCAGCAGUGGGGAAUCUUCCGCAAUGGAAGAAAGGCUGACGGAGGAACGCCGCGUGAGUGAGGACGGCCUUCGGGUUGUAAAGCUCUGUUAAUCGGGACGAAAGGCCUUCUUGCGAAUAGUGAGAAGGAUUGACGGUACCGGAAUAGAAAGCCACGGCUAACUACGUG
rnacentral:rRNA from 1 species